UAAUUCUCAAACCUUUGUGUUUGGUUUUGGAGGCUCUGCUUGUCUCAAAGCUCCUCUCAAAUGCAUUGGCUAACUUGGGCUGGAUUUAUCUCAGUGUUGUAAUCUACUGCGCUGAAAAACUAGCUUUGAGUGGCUGACUUUAACAUCUCUUGUAAU
rnacentral:misc_RNA from 1 species